rnacentral:rRNA from 1 species
GAUGAACGCUGGCGGCGUGCCUAAUACAUGCAAGUCGAGCGAACAGACGAGGAGCUUGCUCCUCUGACGUUAGCGGCGGACGGGUGAGUAACACGUGGAUAACCUACCUAUAAGACUGGGAUAACUUCGGGAAACCGGAGCUAAUACCGGAUAAUAUAUUUAACCGCAUGGUUCAAUAUUGAAAGACGUUAUUGCUUUCACUUAUAGAUGGAUCCAGGUCGCAUUGGCUAGUUGUUAAGGUAACGGCAUACCAAGGCAACGAUGCGUAGCGGACCUGAAAGGGUGAACGGCCACACGGGAACUGAGACACGGUCCAGACUCCUACGGGAGGCAGCAGUCGGGAAUCUUCCGCAAGGGGCGAAAGCCUGACGGAGCAACGCGGCGUGAGUGAUGAAGGUCUUCGGAUGGUAAAACUCUGUUAUAAGGGAAGAACAAAUGUGUAAGUAACUGUGCACGUCUUGACGGUACCUAAGCAGAAAGCCACGGCUAACUACGUG